AGGGGCGCUAAUACCGGAUAAAGCGAAAGCUGAAAGAGGAAACUCACCUGAAGAGGGGCCUGCGGCCUAUUAGCUAGUUGGUGGGGUAAUGGCCCACCAAGGUGAUGAUGGGUAGCUGGUCUGAGAGGACGACCAGCCCGACUGGGACUGAGACACGGCCCAGACUCCUACGGGAGGCAGCAUAUCAGAAUCUUGCACAAUGGGCGAAAGCCUGAUGCAGCGAUACCGCGUGGUGGGUAAGGCUUCGGGUUGUAAGCAC
rnacentral:rRNA from 1 species